UGGGGAUGUGGCUCAGGGGUAGAGUGCUUGCCUGACGUUCAUGAGGCCCUGGGUUCCAUCCCCAGAACUUAA
rnacentral:tRNA from 1 species